CCUACGGGUGGCUGCAGUGGGGAAUCUUGCACAAUGGGGGAAACCCUGAUGCAGCGACGCCGCGUGAGCGAUGAAGCCCUUCGGGGUGUAAAGCUCUUUCGGCAGGAACGAUAAUGACGGUACCUGAAGAAGAAGCUGCGGCUAACUACGUGCCAGCAGCCGCGGUAAUACGUAGGCAGCGAGCGUUGUUCGGAGUUACUGGGCGUAAAGAGUGCGUAGGUGGUUCUCUAAGGUUGGUGUGAAAUCUCCCGGCUCAACUGGGAGGGUGCGCCGAAAACUGGGGGACUAGAGUGUGGGAGAGGAAAGCGGAAUUCCGGGUGUAGCGGUGAAAUGCGUAGAUAUCAGGAGGAACACCUGCGGUGUAGACGGCUUUCUGGACCACUACUGACACUGAGGCACGAAAGCGUGGGGAGCAAACAGGAUUAGAUACCCCUGUAGUC
rnacentral:rRNA from 1 species